rnacentral:rRNA from 1 species
AUACGUAGGUGGCAGCGUUAUCCGGAUUUACUGGGCGUAAAGGGAGCGUAGGCGGAUAUUUAAGUGGGAUGUGAAAUACUCGGGCUUAACCUGAGUGCUGCAUUCCAAACUGGAUAUCUAGAGUGCAGGAGAGGAGAAGGGAAUUCCUAGUGUAGCGGUGAAAUGCGUAGAGAUUAGGAAGAACACCAGUGGCGAAGGCGCUUCUCUGGACUGUAACUGACGCUGAGGCUCGAAAGCGUGGGGAGC